rnacentral:rRNA from 1 species
UACGUAGGGGGCAAGCGUUGUCUGGAUUUAUUGGGCGUAAAGCGCUCGCAGGUGGUUCGUUGCGUCGUGCGUGAAAGACCCCGGCUCAACUGGGGGGUGUCGUGCGAUACGGGCGAACUGGAGGCCAGUAGGGGGAUGCGGAAUUCCGGGUGUAGUGGUGGAAUGCGUAGAGAUCCGGAGGAACACCAGCGGCGAAGGCGGCAUCCUGGACUGGUCCUGACACUCAGGAGCGAAAGCGUGGGGAGCGAUCCGG